AGUGAACGCUGGCGGUAGGCCUAACACAUGCAAGUCGAACGGCAGCACAGUAAGAGCUUGCUCUUACGGGUGGCGAGUGGCGGACGGGUGAGGAAUACAUCGGAAUCUACUUUUUCGUGGGGGAUAACGUAGGGAAACUUACGCUAAUACCUCAUACGACCUACGGGUGAAAGCAGGGGAUCUUCGGACCUUGCGCGAUUGAAUGAGCCGAUGUCGGAUUAGCUAGUUGGCGGGGUAAAGGCCCACCAAGGCGACGAUCCGUAGCUGGUCUGAGAGGAUGAUCAGCCACACUGGAACUGAGACACGGUCCAGACUCCUACGGGAGGCAGCAGUGGGGAAUAUUGGACAAUGGGCGCAAGCCUGAUCCAGCCAUACCGCGUGGGUGAAGAAGGCCUUCGGGUUGUAAAGCCCUUUUGUUGGGAAAGAAAAGCAGCAGGUUAAUAACCCGCUGUUCUGACGGUACCCAAAGAAUAAGCACCGGCUAACUUCGUG
rnacentral:rRNA from 1 species